GUCUCAUGCUCUACCAACUGGCUAGGAUCGAGUGUAGUAUCUGUUCUUAUCAGUUUAAUAUAUGAUACUUCCUCAAUGAGAGGACUUAAUAUUAAACAGAUUUUUGGGCUCGGGAGUUGGACCCGGGGCUUUCUCCCUCCAUUCCAUGCAUCGUCCCUGUACUGCAGUGCCUCCGGGAACAGGGCACCCCCA